CAGGUUGCCCCACAAUUUCUUGUAUUAUUGGGAAUUUUAGCAUUGAACAAGCUUUAUUGGAUUUGGGUGCUAGUGUUAAUUUAUUGCCUUACUCGGUUUAUGAGCAAUUGGGUCUUGGUGAAUUAAAACCCACCUCAAUAACAUUGCAAUGGACUGACUGUUCAAUCAAAAUCCCAAGAGGUAUGGUGGAAGAUGUGCUGGUUCAGGUAGACAAAUUUUAUUUUUCAGUUGAUUUUAUAGUUUUGGAUACUGAACUAGUUAUAUAUUCUAAUUCUCAAAUUCAUGUUAUUCUUGGAAGACCAUUUCUUGCUACAUCUAAUGCUCAUAUAAAUUGCAGGAAUGGACUUAUGCAACUAUCAUAUGGGAACAUGACAUUGGAGCUCAACAUAUGCAACAUAUGCAAGCAGCCCGCAAACAAUGAAGAUGUCGACAAAGAAGUUUACAUGAUUGAGACAAUUGUUCAAAAUUUCUUUAAUUCUUCUUUUUCUUAUGAUCCAUUGCAAAUUUGUUUAGUAAAUAGGGAUUGUAAUUUUACACAAGAUUUUGAAGUACAAUAUCUUCGUUCUUUGUUUGAUUCUGCGCAGGUACAAGAACAUAAUGGUUGGAUACCAAAAUAUGAGGAGCUGCCAACUGUGAGAGAUGAGACAAAAUCAUCAAGAGAAGAAGCCCAAAAUGUGAAUUGAAGCCUCUUCCUGCUGAACUUAAAUAUGCUUUUUUGGGAGAGGAUGAGACCUAUCCUGUGGUAAUAUCUUCUAAACUAGAGCUUUUGCAUGAAGGUAUGUUACUUAAAGUUUUGAAAGAUCAUAGGACUGCUAUUGGAUGGACUUUAUCUGAUAUUAAAGGUAUUAGUCCUUUGGUUUGCACACACCAAAUUUUUCUUGAAGAAGAUGCUAAACCAAUUAGGCAGGCUCAAUGUAGACUUAACCCAACAAUGAAAGAAGUUGUACAAAAAGAAGUACUUAAACUUUGGGAUGCAGGUAUCAUAUAUCCAAUUUCUGAUAGCAAAUGGAUGAGUCCUACACAGGUUGUUCCUAAAAAAUCAGGAGUCACAGUAGUUGAAAAUGAUACUGGAUGGAGAAUGUGUAUUGAUUAUCGUAAAUUGAACUCAGUCACAAGAAAGGAUCAUUUUCCUUUACCAUUUCUUGACCAAAUUUUGGAAAGAGUUGCAGGGCAUAUGUAUUAUUGUUUUUCAGAUGGUUAUUCAGGAUAUUAUCAAAUUGAGAUUUCAUUAAAAGAUCAAGAAAAAACAACUUUUACUUGCCCAUUUUGAACUUUCGCUUUUAGAAAAAUGCCUUUUGGUCUUUGCAAUGCACCAGCUACAUUCCAACGUUGCAUGAUAAGCAUAUUUAGUGACAUGGUAGAAAAAUAUUUACAAGUUUUCAUGGAUGACGUUACUGUGUUUGGUGAUUCAUUUUCUGAUUGUUUAUCUAACUUGGAGAAUGUUCUUAUCAAGUGUAAAGAGAAAAAUUUGAUGCUUAAUUAGGAGAAAUGCCAAUUCAUGGUCACAUCUGGCAUAGUACUUAGACACAUUGUUUCUCACAAAGGAAUUGAAGUGGAUAAGUCAAAAAUUGAUUUAAUUGCUAAUCUGCCUAUUCCUAAAACUGUUAAAGAUAUUAUAUCUUUUUAGGACAUGCAGGUUCUACCGGAGAUUCAUACAAAAUUUUAGUGCAAUUGCAAGGCCAUUAAAUAAUCUCUUGGAGAAAGAUGCUAAAUUUGAUUGGAAUUAUGCAUGUCAAGAAGCAUUUGAGAACUUGAGUAAAAUGCUAACAUCAACUCCUAUAAUGCAGCCCCUAUAUUGGUCCAUGCCAUUUGAAAUAAUGUGUGAUGCUAGUGAUGGUGCUAUUGGGGCAGUGCUAGGCCAAAGAAAAGACAAGAAGCCUGUUGUUAUCUGCUACAUCAUUCGGCCUUGAAGUAUUUAUUGACAAAAGCCAAAUCACGAUUAAUUAGAUAGAUUUUGCUUCUCCAAGAAUUUGAUCUUACAAUCAAGGACAAGAAAGGAGUGGAGAAUGUUGUUGCAGACCAUCUUUCUAGGAUAUCUUUUGAGGAGCCUUCUGAAUAUUUGCCUAUAAAAGAUUCAUUUCCUGAUGAACAAUUGUUUGGUGUUUCUAAAUUGCCAUGGUUUGCUAACAUUGUGAAUUUUCUUGCUACAGGUCUUAUCCCACCUCACUGGACCUCACAAGAGAAAAAGAAAUUUAUGGUUGAGGUGAGAAAAUUCUUUUGGGAUGACCCGUAUCUCUUCAAAUAUUGUCCCGAUCAGGUAAUCCGUAGAUGUGUUCCUGAUGAUGAAAUAUUUAGUGUCAUAUCUUUUUGUCAUUUUGAGGCUUGUGGAGGUCCCUUUUCUCCGAAAAAGACUUCAGCCAAAAUUCUUCAAUGUGGUUUUUAUUGGCCCAGACUUUUCAAAGAUGUGUAUGAAUUUUGCAAGACUUGUCCAAGUUGUCAAAAGUUGGGAAAAAUUACUCGACGUAAUAUGAUGCCUCUUAACCCAAUUUUAAUUAUUGAAAUUUUUUACUGUUGGGGCAUUGAUUUUAUAGGUCCUUUUCCUCCAUCUUUUGGUUACUUAUAUAUCCUUAUUGCUGUGGGUUAUGUUUCAAAAUGGAUUGAGGCCAUACCAUGUCGAAAGAAUGAUUAUAAAAUUAUUUUGAAAUUUUUGAAAGAAAAUGUAUUGUCCAGGUUUGGUACUCCUAGAGCGAUCAUCAGUGAUGGAGGAUCACAUUUUUGCAACCGACCAUUUGAAGCUUUGAUGAAAAAAUAUGGGAUAACCCAUAAGAUUCCACUCCAUACCAUCCACAGACAAAUGGCCAAGCAGAACUUGCAAACAGGGAAAUCAAGCAAAUUUUGGAAAAGACGGUGAAUCCAACCCAGAAGGAUUGGUCAUUGAGACUAACUGAUGCUUUGUGGGCAUACUGUACUUCAUACAAAUCACCUCUUGUCUUGGAGAUGCAGGGUACCUUGAGAAAACUCCAAUUGAAUGAACUUGAGGAAGUCAGGAAUGAUGCAUAUGAGAACUCACGAAUUUACAGAGAACGUACUAAAGUUUUGCAUGAUAAAAAUAUUUUGAGGAAAAAUUUUGAGCCUUCUCAACUUGUUCUUUUGUAUAAUUCUAGACUUCAUUUGUUUCCUGGAAAAUUAAGAACUAAAUGG